ACUCAAGAGAGUUCGAUCCUGGCUCAGGAUAAACGCUGGCGGCGUGCCUAAUACAUGCAAGUCGAGCGAGGUAUUCAGCAAUGGAUACCGAGCGGCGAACGGGUGAGUAACACGUUGGGAACCUACCCCCCUGAUCGGAAUACCCAAGGGAAACUUUGGUUAAUGCCGAAUACGUGGUUCUGGGAUAACCUGGAGUCAUAAAAGGCGGCCUUAAAGCCGCGCAGAGGGAUGGACCUGCGGCGCAUUAGCUAGUAGGUGAGAUAAUAGCCCACCUAGGCGAGGAUGCGUAGCCGACCUGAGAGGGUGAACGGCCACACUGGAACUGAGACACGGUCCAGACUCCUACGGGAGGCAGCAGUAGGGAGUAUUCGGCAAUGGGGGAAACCCUGACCGAGCAACGCCGCGUGAAUGAUGACGGCCUUCGGGUUGUAAAAUUCUGUGGCGAGGAACGAAUGGCAAGGAGAGGAAAUGCUCUUUGUUUGACGGUACCUCGCUAGAAAGCCACGGCUAACUACGUGCCAGCAGCCGCGGUAAUACGUAGGUGGCAAGCGUUAUCCGGAAUUAUUGGGCGUAAAGAGUGAGCAGGCGGUUUUUUAAGUCUGAAGUCAAAUCCUGUGGCUCAACCACAGUUCGCUUUGGAAACUGAAGAACUAGAGUGCGGGAGAGGUAAGCGGAAUUCCAUAUGUAGCGGUGAAAUGCACAGAUAUAUGGAGGAACACCGGUGGCGAAGGCGGCUUACCAGCCCGAUACUGACGCUCAGUCACGAAAGCGUGGGGAGCAAAUAGGCUUAGAUACCCUAGUAGUCCACGCCGUAAACGUUGAGGACCUGAUGCCGGAGUAUUUCGGUGUCGUAGCUAACGCGUUAAGUCCUCCGCCUGGGUACUACGUUCGCAAGAAUAAAACUUAAAGGAAUUGACGGGGGCCCGCACAAGCAGUGGAGCAUGUGGUUUAAUUCGUCGCUACGCGAAAAACCUUACCAGGGUUUGACAUCCCGCUAAAAGUCUUGGAAACAAGAUCAUAGUUAUAGCGGUGAAAGGUGGUGCAUGGUUGUCGUCAGCUCGUGUCGUGAGAUGUUGGGUUAAGUCCCCUAACGAGCGCAACCCUUGUCUCUAUUUGCCAUCAUUAAGUUGGGAACUAUAGAGAGACUGCCGGUGCAAACCGGAGGAAGAUGGGGAUGACGUCAAAUCAUCAUGCCCCUUAUGCCCUGGGCCACACACGUGCUACAAUGGCCGGUACAGAGAGAAGCAAUCCCGUGAGGAGGAGCAAAUCUCACAAAGCCGGUCUCAGUUCGGAUUGGAGUCUGCAACUCGACUCCAUGAAGCUGGAAUUGCUAGUAAUCGCAGAUCAGCAUUGCUGCGGUGAAUACGUUCCCGGGCCUUGUACACACUGCCCGUCACACCAUGAGAGUCGGCAAUACUCGAAGUCGUUAUCUUAACCCGCAAGGGAGGGAGGCGCCUAAGGUAGGGCUGAUGAUUGGGGUUAAGUCGUAACAAGGUAUCCCUACGGGAACGUGGGGAUGGAUCACCUCCUUU
rfam:Clostridium sp. CAG:288 genomic scaffold, scf13